rnacentral:rRNA from 1 species
UACGUAGGUGGCAAACGUUGUCCGGAUUUACUGGGCGUAAAGCGCGCGCAGGCGGAUUGGCCAGUCUGGGGUGAAAUCUCUCGGCUCAACCGAGAGCGGCCCUCAGAUACUACCAAUCUAGAGGUGUCUAGAGGUGAGUGGAAUUCAGGGUGUAGUGGUGGAAUGCGUAGAUAUCCUGAGGAACACCAGUGGCGAAGGCGACUCACUGGGGACAUACUGACGCUGAGGCGCGAAAGCGUGGGGAGCGAAC